rnacentral:rRNA from 1 species
CCCCAGAGGAAGUGGCGACUAACUCUGUGCCAGCAGUCGCGGUAAUACAGAGGCCACAAGCGUUAAUCGGAAUCACUGGGCUUAAAGGGUGCGUAGGCGGGUUCGUAAGUGCUAUGUGAAAGCCCUCGGCUCAACCGGGGAACUGCAUGGCAUACUGCGAAUCUCGAGGAAUCUAGAGGCCGGCGGAACGAUAGGUGGAGCGGUGGAAUGCGUAGAGAUCUAUCGGAACGCCAAAGGUGAAGACAGCCGGCUGGGGAUUUCCUGACGCUGAGGCACGAAAGCGUGGGGAGCAAACAGGAUUAGAUACCCUGGUAGUCCACGCCCUAAACGAUGCGCAUUAGACCGGUGCAGGUCUGACCCUGUAUUGGUCGUAGAGAAAUUGAUAAAUGCGCCGCCUGGGGAGUACGGUCGCAAGGCUAAAACUCAAAGGAAUUGACGGGGGCUCACACAAGCGGUGGAGCAUGUUGCUUAAUUCGAAGCAACGCGAAGAACCUUACCUGGGUUUGACAUGCACGGAUUAGUUCUUGGAAACAGGGAUGACACCCGCAAGGGUGGAACGUGCACAGGUGCUGCAUGGCUGUCGUCAGCUCGUGCUGUGAAGUGUCGGGUUAAGUCCUCUAACGAGCGCAACCCCUGUCGCUAGUUGCCAUCAGGUUAUGCUGGGGACUCUAGCGAGACUGCCGGUGUCAAACCGGAGGAAGGCGGGGAUGACGUCAAGUCCUCAU